AUUGAACGCUGGCGGCAUGCCUAACACAUGCAAGUCGAACGGCAGCAUGGGAUGUAGCAAUACAUUCUGAUGGCGAGUGGCGGACGGGUGAGGAACGCGUGGGAAUCUGCCUUGCAGAGGGGGGCAACCGGAGGAAACUCCGGCUAAUACCGCAUGAACUCUGAGGAGGAAAGGGCUGGCAGCAAUGCCAGUCGCUGCGAGAGGAGCCCGCGUCCGAUUAGCUAGUUGGUGGGGUAAAGGCCUACCAAGGGGAUGAUCGGUAGCUGGUCCGAGAGGAUGACUCGCCAGACUGGGACUGGGACACGGCCCAGAUUCCUACGGGAGGCAGCAGUGGGGAAUAUUGGACAAUGGGGGCAACCCUGAUCCAGCAAUGCCGCGUGUGUGAAGAAGGCCUUCGGGUUGUAAAGCACUUUCAGUAGGGAGGAGAGGUAUUAGAUUAAGAGUCAGAUACUGAGACGUUACCUACAGAAGAAGCACCGGCUAACUCCGUGCCAGCCGCCGCGGUAA
rnacentral:rRNA from 1 species